rnacentral:rRNA from 1 species
ACGGGUGAGUAACACGUGGGAACGUACCCUUUUCUACGGAAUAACCCAGGGAAACUUGGACUAAUACCGUAUGUGCCCUUCGGGGAAAGAUUUAUCGGAAAAGGAUCGGCCCGCGUUGGAUUAGCUAGUUGGUGGGGUAAAGGCCUACCAAGGCGACGAUCCAUAGCUGGUCUGAGAGGAUGAUCAGCCACAUUGGGACUGAGACACGGCCCAAACUCCUUCGGGAGGCAGCAGUGGGGAAUAUUGGACAAUGGGCGCAAGCCUGAUCCAGCCAUGCCGCGUGAGUGAUGAAGGCCUUAGGGUUGUAAAGCUCUUUCACCGGAGAAGAUAAUGACGGUAACCGGAGAAGAAGCCCCGGCUAACUUCGUGCCAGCAGCCGCGGUAAUACGAAGGGGGCUAGCGUUGUUCGGAUUUACUGGGCGUAAAGCGCACGUAGGCGGAUCGAUCAGUCAGGGGUGAAAUCCCAGAGCUCAACUCUGGAACUGCCUUUGAUACUGUCGAUCUGGAGUAUGGAAGAGGUGAGUGGAAUUCCGAGUGUAGAGGUGAAAUUCGUAGA